UUGACUGCACUAGAAAUAGAGCCUAUUCAUCAACCGAACAAGUGCAUCCCAGGCAGGAAAGUAUACUUCCCCCCAACUUGCCGCCAGUGUGCCUCAAGGCAGUUUUGGUGGGACCACCACUAAGGUGACAGGGACGUUUAUUUUCCAUCUUCAAUCAAUUCUUGGCCUCU
ensembl:misc_RNA